rnacentral:misc_RNA from 1 species
CCUGUUCGAGCGUCAUUAACACCACUCAAGCUCAGCUUGGUAUUGGGUCACGCCAGAAUGGUGAACCUCAAACUCAGUGGCGGCACCGUUGGGUCCCGAGCGUAGUAAAUAUCUCGCUGAGGGUUCCCUCCGGUUGGCGACCAACAACCCAAUUUUCUAAGGUUGACCUCGGAUCAGGUAGGAAUACCCGCUGAACUUAA